AUUGAACGCUGGCGGAAUGCUUUACAUAUACAAGUCGAACGGCAGCACGGACUUCGGUCUGGUGGCGAGUGGCGAACGGGUGAGUAAUGUAUCGGAACGUGCCCAGUCGUGGGGGAUAACGUAGUGAAAGUUACGCUAAUACCGCAUACGAUCUAUGGAUGAAAGCGGGGGAUCGCAAGACCUCGCGCGAUUGGAGCGGCCGAUAUCAGAUUAGGUAGUUGGUGGGGUAAAGGCCCACCAAGCCAACGAUCUGUAGCUGGUCUGAGAGGACGACCAGCCAAACUGGAACUGAGACACGGUCCAGACUCCUACGGGAGGCAGCAGUGGGGAAUUUUGGACAAUGGGCGAAAGCCUGAUCCAGCCAUUCCGCGUGCAGGAUGAAGGCCCUCGGGUUGUAAACUGCUUUUGUACAGAACGAAAAGGUUUCUACUAAUACUAGGAGCUCAUGACGGUACUGUAAGAAUAAGCACCGGCUAACUACGUGCCAGCCGCCGCCGUAA
rnacentral:rRNA from 1 species